rnacentral:rRNA from 1 species
CCUACGGGUGGCUGCAGUGAGGAAUAUUGGUCAAUGGACGAGAGUCUGAACCAGCCAAGUAGCGUGAAGGAUGACUGCCCUAUGGGUUGUAAACUUCUUUUAUAUGGGAAUAAAACGUUCCACGUGUGGGAUUUUGUAUGUACCAUAUGAAUAAGGAUCGGCUAACUCCGUGCCAGCAGCCGCGGUAAUACGGAGGAUCCGAGCGUUAUCCGGAUUUAUUGGGUUUAAAGGGAGCGUAGGUGGAUUGUUAAGUCAGUUGUGAAAGUUUGCGGCUCAACCGUAAAAUUGCAGUUGAAACUGGCAGUCUUGAGUACAGUAGAGGUGGGCGGGAUUCGUGGUGUAGCGGUGAAAUGCUUAGAUAGCACGAAGAACUCCGAUUGCGAAGGCAGUUCACUGGACUGCAACUGACACUGAGGCUCGAAAGUGUGGGUAUCAAACAGGAUUAGAUACCCGUGUAGUC